AAAAAAAAAAAAAGCCCUACUCUUAGGCCAGGCCUUAACAACUCAACGCCGCACACUCUACAAAACAAAACCCUAGCGCUUUACUCGGUGUUUUAUAUGCAUAUAUAGGACGCCAUAUUCGCUUCAGAAAUCCUAGGGUUGAGGUUGAGUUAGGGCUUCUUCUACCCUAUGUUGUUGAGACCAAAGCUAUGGAGCAGAGUUUAUAUUCUCUUUGUUUCUUAGUUUCAUUCAGCUUCUGAUAUUUUAUACAUGUAUUUACAUAUGAAAGCUGAGAUUUUUAUUAUAAUUUUCUGUUUCGGUGACGCUACAGACCAUUUGGUGGGACUGAUGUAGAUUCCACUCAGUAGUGAAAUGGAACUACUGCUACUCGACACUAUCAAUGGCUGGAGAUCUUGUCAAGUUUAAUGCUUAAUGAGAGCUUUCCUCUCUUCUUGAGACAGGGGCAUAUAUCAUCUGGAAGUGGUUUAAGGAGGAGGAAUAGCUUGUUUAUCCUUUUCCUUGAUCUUUUUUAAAAGAUAGCUUCGAACAUUGUUUACGUUUUCUUAACAUCGUUUUUGUCAACUCUUUUGUUGUGUCUGCCUAUACGCACAUUGAUAGCGAUGUGAAAAUGUGCUAUAAAAUUGGUAUGUAAUUUCAUUUCUCUCUAUUAGUUAUGGUGCAAUUGUUGAAUAUUUUCCACUUAUAUGUCAAUAGAUUUGAGAUGGAGACCUGUGUUUCUCACCAUACACUAGAGUGAGUUUUAGAGUUAGCUUUUUGUUAGCCCUGCUCGUUGGCUGGCUCGCCUCCCCGUUCCCGUCCCUUGUUUUCCAAAUCCAAUAAUACGUUACUCGAGAUUGGUUCGAGAGAUAGCUCAAAUGGUUAGUUAUGUGGUUUGCUCCUACAAAGUUUGAGGAUCUAGUCCUUCCUUCUUAGCUACAUACAUAGCAAUUUUUAUAGUUCCUUCUUAGCUAAAUACUUAACAAUUGUUGUAGUUAUAGAAUUUUUUUCAAAAGAGAGUUGGAAGUGAUGAUUUUUUCCCCAGAUGAUCGAAGCUGAUUAUACUGAGCGCUAUUAUUUAGUUUAUCAUUCAUCCGAUAUUCCAAGCCAGAAUUCUGAUCCACUCUCUAUUUAUUAAUCAAAGUUUUAGUGUUUUAUAAAUUUAAUUGUUAUUUUUGUAAAGUUUAGUGUUUGAUAAAUCUUGAAAAUGUUCUCUCUAGAAAUAAUAAAUAAAUAGGGAGUUGAUGACUAUUUCCCCAGAUGAUCGAAGUUGAUUAUACUGAGCGCAUUAUUAAUCUCUUUCAAGAGACCAAGCCAAUAUAUCUGAUCCAUUUUUAUAAUUUUUUUACUUUAGAUAAUUUUUGUUUGUAGCUAGAUUAAUUUGUGGUUUUAGUUUCAAAAUAAAUAUAUAUAUAUUUUUUAAUUGUGUUGCAAAUUAGAUGGAAUUGAUGACUUUUUCCCCAGAUGAUCGAAGUUGAUUAUACUGAGCGCAUUAUUUAUCUCCUUCGAGAGACCAAGCCAAUAUACUGAUCCAUCGAUACAAUUUUUGUUUUGUUCUUGAAAUUUAAUGUAGAUAAAUUUGUGUUUCAGUUUUCUAAAUAAACAAGUACUUUUAAAAUUGAAUUAGAUGGAAUUGAUGACUAUUUCCCCAGAUGAUCGAAGUUGAUUAUACUGAGCGCAA